GACGAACGCUGGCGGCGUGCCUAAUACAUGCAAGUAGAACGCUGAAGAGAGGAGCUUACUCUUCUUGGAUGAGUUGCGAACGGGUGAGUAACGCGUAGGUAACCUGCCUUGUAGCGGGGGAUAACUAUUGGAAACGAUAGCUAAUACCGCAUAACAAUGGAUGACACAUGUCAUUUAUUUGAAAGGGGCAAUUGCUCCACUACAAGAUGGACCUGCGUUGUAUUAGCUAGUAGGUGAGGUAAUGGCUCACCUAGGCGACGAUACAUAGCCGACCUGAGAGGGUGAUCGGCCACACUGGGACUGAGACACGGCCCAGACUCCUACGGGAGGCAGCAGUAGGGAAUCUUCGGCAAUGGGGGCAACCCUGACCGAGCAACGCCGCGUGAGUGAAGAAGGUUUUCGGAUCGUAAAGCUCUGUUGUAAGUCAAGAACGGGUGUGAGAGUGGAAAGUUCACACUGUGACGGUAGCUUAUCAGAAAGGGACGGCUAACUACGUG
rnacentral:rRNA from 1 species